rnacentral:rRNA from 1 species
AAUGAACGUUGGCGGCGUGGAUUAGGCAUGCAAGUCGUACGGACGAAGGGAGCUUGCUCCCCGAGCUAGUGGCGAAAGGGAUAGUACAAUAUAGAUCAUCUGCCCCCGGGACGUGGAUAUACGAGGGAAACUUCGGGUAAUACACGAUAAUCUCUACGGAGCAAAGGUGUGAUUCCGCCUGGGGAUGAGUCUAUAGCCUAUUAGCUUGUUGGCGGGGUAACGGCCCACCAAGGCUAUGAUGGGUACCAGGCGUGAGAGCGUGACCCCGAUCACUGGGACUGAGACACUGCCCAGACACCUACGGGUGGCUGCAGUCGAGAAUCUUCGGCAAUGGACGAAAGUCUGACCGAGCGACGCCGCGUGAGCGAUGAAGGCCUUCGGGUUGUAAAGCUCUGUAAUAGAGGAGGAAAUGCAUGGGGGCAAUCCCUCAUGCUUGACCUAGUCUAAAAGUAAGGACGGGCUAAGUUCGUGCCAGCAGCCGCGGUAAUAC